rnacentral:rRNA from 1 species
UACGAGGGGUGCAAGCGUUGCUCGGAAUUAUUGGGCGUAAAGAGCUCGUAGGCGGUUUGUCGCGUCUGCCGUGAAAGUCCGGGGCUCAACUCCGGAUCUGCGGUGGGUACGGGCAGACUAGAGUGAUGUAGGGGAGACUGGAAUUCCUGGUGUAGCGGUGAAAUGCGCAGAUAUCAGGAAGAACACCCGUGGCGAAGGCGGCUCUCUGGGACGUGACUGACGCUGAGACGCGAAAGCGUGGGGAGCAAACAGG